GUAUAUAUAGUUUAAAUAAAAUAUUAGACUGUGAUUCUAAUUAUGUGAGUUAAAAUCUCCCUAUAGACC
rnacentral:tRNA from 1 species